CAUUCUGCCAAAACAAUGGAAUUUACACCUAACAUUUGGAAGUGCUUCUACCCACAAAUUACUCUAGAGAAGGAACCCAGCAGAGUGGACAAAGGCCCCUCCUUGGAAUCUGGAAAAACAUGAUCUUCUCUCUGAUACCUCCUGGCUACAUGGCUGUGGUCAAAUUACUUAACCUCUCACUGCUGCAGGGGAAAAGACACUUGAAGAUCAAGGGGAAAAAACUGACCAAGGAUUGAAGACUGAACAUAUUCUCCUGGAGGGUUGUACUGAUCUCAGAAAAUACAAGGCAAGGCGCAUUGAAUCAAAGAUGAACAUUAUGAAGAAUAGAAUAUUCAUUAGUACCUUUACCUAUCAUUUCAAUGCUUCAGCUUAAGGAAAGGCAACAUGGAUCCCAAGUCUCAUAUUUAUAGACUGUGUAAUCACGGGCAAGUCACAAACUUUCUUCACCUAUGAAACUGGAUUACCAAUACUUGCAGUAUGAGAAACAACAUGGUAAACUUCAAAAGCCCCAGUUCCUGAGUGUUGUUGGACCCAAGUUAAGAUGUAAUUAGGAAAUAUUUAACAAAAAUAAAUAAAAAC
rnacentral:lncRNA from 1 species